UCCGAGUUAGUAUAUCGGCUAGUAUAUCCGCUUUUCACCCGGCGGGGCGCGGAGGAGACGGGUUCGAUUCCCGUACUCGGAA
rnacentral:tRNA from 1 species